rnacentral:ncRNA from 1 species
CUUAUAGUUGAUUCUGCUAUAUUAAUUAGUUAAAAGUUAUUAUUUACAUGUAAAUCUUUGUAAGAUUAUGAUUACUUCUUAAGGAAGAUAAUUUUCAUAUUUGCAGUUUAAAGUUUUAGUUUUUAAAGAAAUUUAGAACUAUAUAAAUUUUAUAGAACUAUAAAAAGGUGUGCCAGCAUAUGCGGUUAUACAUUUUAGUUCAAAUUAAUCUUAUCGAUUAAUAUUAACAUUAUUAAAAAUAAAGAUUUAAAUUUUUUAUUAAGUGGAAUUUUAAUUUAUUAAAAUCUUUUAAGUAUUUGAUUAAUAUAAAAUUCAGACUUUAAACUAGGAUUAGAUACCCUAUUAUUCUGACUGUUAAAUUUAUAUUCAUGUGAUUAAAAGUUAUGUUCUUAAAAUUAAAAGAAUUUGGCGGUAAUUUAAUCUUUUCAGAGGAACCUGUAUUUUAAUUGAUAAUCCACGUUUAUUUUUACUUUAAUUAUUAGUUUGUAUAUCUCUGUCAUUGAAUGUCUCAUAAGAGUAUUUUCAUUAAUUAUAAUUAUAAUUAAGGUCAAGUCAAGGUGCAGCUAUAUUAAAGUUUUUAUGGGUUACAUUUAAAGUUUAUUUAUUAAAUUAUUAUUUCUUAAAAAUAAUAUGAAAUAGGAUUUGAAAGUAAAUUAUUUUAUAUAAAAUAAUUGAUUUUGGCUCUAAAUUAUGUACAUAUUGCCCGUCACUCUCACCUUUAAAGUGAGAUAAGUCGUAACAAAGUAAUUUUACUGGAAAGUGAAAUUUAAAUUUU